rnacentral:rRNA from 1 species
UGGGGAAUAUUGGACAAUGGGCGCAAGCCUGAUCCAGCCAUGCCGCGUGAGUGAUGAAGGCCUUAGGGUUGUAAAGCUCUUUUAGCGGGGACGAUAAUGACGGUACCCGCAGAAAAAGCCCCGGCCAACUUCGUGCCAGCAGCCGCGGUAAUACGAAGGGGGCUAGCGUUGCUCGGAAUCACUGGGCGUAAAGCGCACGUAGGUGGGUCGUUAAGUUGAGGGUGAAAUCCCAGGGCUCAACCCUGGAACUGCCUUCAAUACUGGCGACCUUCGAGUCCGGGAGAGGUGAGUGGAACUGCGAGUGUAGAGGUGAAAUUCGUAGAUAUUCGCAAGAACACCAGUGGCGAAGGCGGCUCACUGGCCCGGUACUGACACUGAGGUGCGAAAGCGUGGGGAGCAAACAGG